GAUGAAGAACGCAGCGAAAUGCGAUAAGUAAUGUGAAUUGCAGAAUUCAGUGAAUCAUCGAAUCUUUGAACGCACAUUGCGCCCGCCAGUAUUCUGGCGGGCAUGCCUGUUCGAGCGUCAUUUCAACCCUCAAGCCCCAGCGGCCUGGUGUUGGGGACCGGCGACCUCGCCCGAGCCCGCCCUCCGGGGCGCGUGCCCGGUGCGUCCGCCGCCCCCGAAAUGAAUUGGCGGCCUCGUCGCGGCCUCCUCUGCGUAGUAGCACAACCUCGCAAGCGGGAGCGCGACGCGGCCACUGCCGUAAAACGCCCAACUUUUUUAGAGUUGACCUCGGAUCAGGUAGGAAUACCCGCUGAACUUAAGCAUAUCAUAAGCGGAGGA
rnacentral:misc_RNA from 1 species